rnacentral:rRNA from 1 species
UUCCGGUUGAUCCCGCCGGACCUGACUGCUAUCGGAUUGAUACUAAGCCAUGCGAGUCUUUGUAGCAAUACAAGGCAGACGGCUCAGUAACGCGUAGUCAACCUACCCUAUGGACGGGAAUAACCUCGGGAAACUGAGUAUAAUGCCCGAUAGAACACUAUACCUGGAAGGGUUUGUGUUCCAAAUGAUUUAUCGCCGUAGGAUGGGACUGCGGCCUAUCAGUUUGUUGGUGAGGUAAUGGCCCACCAAGACUAUUACAGGUACGGGCUCUGAGAGGAGUGGCCCGGAGAUGGGUACUGAGACACGGACCCAGGCCCUAUGGGGCGCAGCAGGCGAGAAAACUUUGCAAUGUGCGAAAGCACGACAAGGUUAAUCCGAGUGAUUUGUGCUAAACGAAUCUUUUGUUAGUCAUAGAACCACUAACGAAUUAGGGGUGGGCAAGCUCUGGUGUCAGCCGCCGCGGUAAAACCAGCACCUCAAGUGGUCAGGAUGAUUAUUGGGCCUAAAGCAUCCGUAGCCGGCUCUGUAAGUUUUCGGUUAAAUCUGUACGCUCAACGUACAGGCUGCCGGGA